CUCAGAUUGAACGCUGGCGGCAGGCCUAACACAUGCAAGUCGAACGGUAACAGGAAGCAGCUUGCUGCUUUGCUGACGAGUGGCGGACGGGUGAGUAAUGUCUGGGAAACUGCCUGAUGGAGGGGGAUAACUACUGGAAACGGUGGCUAAUACCGCAUAACGUCGCAAGACCAAAGAGGGGGACCUUCGGGCCUCUUGCCAUCAGA
rnacentral:rRNA from 1 species